rnacentral:snRNA from 1 species
AUACUUACAUGGCAGGGAAGAUAUCAUAUCAUGAAGGUGGGUUUUUCUAGGCAAGUGUUAUCCAUUGCACUCUAGAUGCGCUGACUCCUACCGUUUCUCCAAAUGUGGAAAACUCAACUGAAUAAUUUGUGGUAGUGAAAGACUGAGUUCAUGCUCUCCCCUAAA